CCAACGCGUUGGGAGCUCUCCCAUAUGGUCGACCUGCAGGCGGCCGCGAAUUCACUAGUGAUUAGAGUUUGAUCAUGGCUCAGAGCGAACGCUGGCGGCAGUCUUAAUACAUGCAAGGCGAACGGGCCUUCGGGAUAGUGGCGGACGGGUGAGUAACACGUGGGAACGUACCCUUAGGUUCGGAACAACACAGGGAAACUUGUGCUAAUACCGGAUAAGCCCUUCGGGGGAAAGAUUUAUCGCCUUUGGAGCGGCCCGCGUCUGAUUAGCUUGUUGGUGAGGUAAUGGCUCACCAAGGCUACGAUCAGUAGCUGGUCUGAGAGGAUGGCCAGCCACACUGGGACUGAGACACGGCCCAGACUCCUACGGGAGGCAGCAGUGGGGAAUCUUGCGCAAUGGGCGAAAGCCUGACGCAGCCAUGCCGCGUGGAUGAUGAAGGUCUUAGGAUUGUAAAAUCCUUUCACCGGGGACGAUAAUGACGGUCCCCGGAGAAGAAGUCCCGGCUAACUUCGUGCCAGCAGCCGCGGUAAUACGAAUCGAAUUCCCGCGGCCGCCAUGGCGGCCGGAAGCAUGCGAC
rnacentral:rRNA from 1 species